rnacentral:lncRNA from 1 species
UCCCCCUCUUUCUCCCCUCCGCCCUCUUCGUCUCCACCACUGCCUUCAACCCCGACACUUCCCACUACCUCAACUGCGGUUCCGCACCUGGCAUCGUCAUCACCACCGACGUGCCUUCCCGCAACUUCACCGAUGACUCUCCCUUCCUCUCUGAUUCCGCCAAGUACCCCUCCCUCUCCAAUCCCUCGGUCGCCGCCUCCUCCUCCUCCCUCUACUCCACCGCUCGCGUCUUUACCAGUUCUGCCUCCUACCGCUUCACGAUCAACACCCAUGGUACCUACGUCCUCCGCCUCCACUUCUUCCCCUUCUCCGGCAACAGCUACAACCUCUCCUCCGCCCGCUUUGGCGUCAACGCCCUCCAACGCGGCGUCGUCCUCCUCGAAGACUUCUCCGCACCGAUCUCCACGGCUCCGACCAUCAAGGAGUACUUCCUCUGGGUCGAUUCUGACGAGCUCGUUGUCACCUUCGCUCCAAGU